rnacentral:piRNA from 1 species
UUGGGGCCCAGGAAAGCCAUUGG